UACGUAGGGUGCAAGCGUUGUCCGGAAUUAUUGGGCGUAAAGAGCUCGUAGGCGGUUCGUCGCGUCGGCUGUGAAAACCUGAGGCUCAACCUCAGGCCUGCAGUCGAUACGGGCGGACUUGAGUACUGCAGGGGAGACUGGAAUUCCUGGUGUAGCGGUGAAAUGCGCAGAUAUCGGGAGGAACACCGGUGGCGAAGGGCGGUUCUCUGGGCCUUACCUGACGCUGAGGAGCGAAAGCGUGGGGGAGCGAACAGG
rnacentral:rRNA from 1 species